GUUUAUAUAGUAUAAAAUUAUAUAUAUAUAUAACUUCCAAUUAUAAGAUUUAAAUUUAAAUUUAAUAUAAAUA
rnacentral:tRNA from 1 species